rnacentral:lncRNA from 1 species
CCACUUGUGCAAGAACGAUAUAAUAAUAAAUUACAAGCAAACAUAUCUUAAUAAACUCAUCACUACCUCCAAGGGGCAUUGAGACCAUAACAUGUUACAUGAGGAAAAGAAAACCUUUGUACUGACUAAAAGAUCACUUAAAUCCAUUGUCACGGCCGUUGUCACCACUAUUACCACCGCUACCCGCAUGAUCGUUUCCAUUGUUGCCAUCAACAAUCGUGUGAUAAUGGUGAAG